CCCUUAGAUGUUCUGGGCCGCACGCGCGCUACACUGACGAAUGCAACGAGCUUAUAACCUUGGCCGAAAGGUCUGGGUAAUCUCCAAAUUUCGUCGUGAUGGGGAUAGAUUAUUGCAAUUAUUAAUCUUCAACGAGGAAUGCCUAGUAAACGCAAGUCAUCAGCUUGCAUUGAUUACGUCCCUGCCCUUUGUACACACCGCCCGUCGCACCUACCGAUUGAAUGGUCCGGUGAAGGCUUCGGAGGCGGCUUUCUCAAUGUUUAUUCGGCGAGACUGCUGCCAAAGUUGAAUGAACCUUACCAUUUAGAGGAAGGUGAAGUCGUAACA
rnacentral:rRNA from 1 species